rnacentral:sRNA from 1 species
GGAUGAGAAGCUUCGACCAAGGUUCGAUUCGAGCGCAGCGAGAAAGCGUUGCCGCAGGCAACGACCCGAAGGGCGAAGCGCGCAGCGCUGAGUCAUCCUCCCCCACCACCA